rnacentral:rRNA from 1 species
AGUGAACGCUGGCGGUAGGCCUAACACAUGCAAGUCGAACGGCAGCACAGUAAGAGCUUGCUCUUACGGGUGGCGAGUGGCGGACGGGUGAGGAAUACAUCGGAAUCUACUUUUUCGUGGGGGAUAACGUAGGGUAACUUACGCUAAUACCGCAUACGACCUACGGGUGAAAGCAGGGGAUCUUCGGACCUUGCGCGAUUGAAUGAGCCGAUGUCGGAUUAGCUAGUUGGCGGGGUAAAGGCCCACCAAGGCGACGAUCCGUAGCUGGUCUGAGAGGAUGGUCAGCCACACUGGAACUGAGACACGGUCCAGACUCCUACGGGAGGCAGCAGUGGGGAAUAUUGGACAAUGGGCGCAAGCCUGAUCCAGCCAUACCGCGUGGGUGAAGAAGGCCUUCGGGUUGUAAAGCCCUUUUGUUGGGAAAGAAAAGCAGCAGGUUAAUACCCCGCUGUUCUGACGGUACCCAAAGAAUAAGCACCGGCUAACUUCGUG